AUUGAACGCUGGCGGCAUGCUUUACACAUGCAAGUCGAACGGUAACAGGCCGCAAGGUGCUGACGAGUGGCGAACGGGUGAGUAAUGCAUCGGAACGUGCCCAGUCGUGGGGGAUAACGCAGCGAAAGUUGCGCUAAUACCGCAUACGAUCUAUGGAUGAAAGCGGGGGACCGUAAGGCCUCGCGCGAUUGGAGCGGCCGAUGUCAGAUUAGGUAGUUGGUGGGGUAAAGGCUCACCAAGCCGACGAUCUGUAGCUGGUCUGAGAGGACGACGAGCGACACUGGGACUGAGGCCAGGCCCAGACUCCUACGGGAGGCAGCAGUGGGGAAUUUUGGACAAUGGGCGCAAGCCUGAUCCAGCAAUGCCGCGUGCAGGAAGAAGGCCUUCGGGUUGUAAACUGCUUUUGUACGGAACGAAAAGGCUCUGGUUAAUACCUGGGGCUCAUGACGGUACCGUAAGAAUAAGCACCGGCUAACUACGUGCCAGCAGCCGCCGUAAAAC
rnacentral:rRNA from 1 species